AAAACCAUCAAGGGGAUACUAAUUUCGUUCAGCAUCUCCUUCGGCAUUUGGUUGCAAACGAUUUGGGUAAUGAAAUACCUAUACCCGGUAUUCAAUACGAUUUACAGAAUAAGGAUCUGACACCAGAGGAAUGUAUACAAUAUCUGGAGUCUAAGGACUUUGGAAAAGCAUACUGUUGGUUACAAAGUAUA